rnacentral:rRNA from 1 species
CCCCCCUGGUCACGGGCUGAAACACGAGGGUGUGGGGAACAAACAGGAUUAGAGACCCUGGUAGUCCACACUGUAAACGAUGGAGAAAAUGCGAAUGCAGCCCCGAAAGGCAGCAAUCUCCCGCCUGAGUAGUACGAUCGCAAGAUUAAAAUUCAAAAAAUUUGGCUGUUCACCGUUUCGAUUAGAGGAGCGUGUAGUUUAAUUCGAUAAACCGCGAGAUACCUUACCCAAACUUGAAUCGCCCCACCCGCGACCCUAGUGGUCCCGGGGGGGGUGACCGGUAUUGCAUGGCCGUCGUCAGUUCGUGUAUGAAACCUUAAACGGACCCAACCCGAGGAUUAGCCGCGGAUGAAGUCAGGUCUUAUGG